rnacentral:rRNA from 1 species
UAGCAUAUCAAUAAGCGGAGGAAAAGAAACCAACAGGGAUUGCCCCCAGUAACGGCGAGUGAAGCGGCAACAGCUCAAAUUUGAAAUCUGGCCCCAGGCCCGAGUUGUAAUUUGCAGAGGAUGCUUUUGGCGCGGUGCCUUCCGAGUUCCCUGGAACGGGACGCCAUAGAGGGUGAGAGCCCCGUACGGUUGGACACCAAGUCUUUGUAAAGCUCCUUCGACGAGUCGAGUAGUUUGGGAAUGCUGCUCAAAAUGGGAGGUAUAUUUCUUCUAAAGCUAAAUAUUGGCCAGAGACCGAUAGCGCACAAGUAGAGUGAUCGAAAGAUGAAAAGCACUUUGAAAAGAGGGUUAAACAGCACGUGAAAUUGUUAAAAGGGAAGCGCUUAUGACCAGACUUGCGCCCGGUGAAUCACCCAGCUCUCGCGGCUGGGGCACUUUGCCGGCUCAGGCCAGCAUCAGCUCGCUGUCGGGGACAAAAGCUUCGGGAACGUAGCUCUCUUCGGGGAGUGUUAUAGCCCGUUGCACAAUACCCUUCGGCGGGCUGAGGUACGCGCUCCGCAAGGAUGCUGGCGUAAUGGUCAUCAGCGACCCGUCUUGAAACACGGACCAAGGAGUCAACCUUAUGUGCGAGUGUUUGGGUGUCAAACCCCUACGCGUAAUGAAAGUGAACGCAGGUGAGAGCUUCGGCGCAUCAUCGACCGAUCCUGAUGUUCUCGGAUGGAUUUGAGUAAGAGCAUAUAGGGUUGGACCCGAAAGAAGGUGAACUAUGCGUGUAUAGGGUGAAGCCAGAGGAAACUCUGGUGGAGGCUCGCAGCGGUUCUGACGUGCAAAUCGAUCGUCAAAUAUGCGCAUGGGGGGCGAAAGACUAAUCGAACCUUCUAGUAGCUGGUUUCCGCCGAA